rfam:Oryza sativa Japonica Group DNA, chromosome 1, cultivar: Nipponbare, complete sequence.
UCCAAGGCAAACCGUGGGUUUGCGUGCCAACGUUUGACUGUCCGUCUUAUAUAAAAUUUUUUUAUAAUUAGUAUUUUUAUUAUUGUUAGAUGAUAAAAUAUGAUGAAUACUUUAUGCGUGACUUAUCUUUUUAAUUUUUUUCAUAAUUUUUUUAAAUAAGACCGACGGUCAAAUAUUGGACACGGAAACCAGUGUUUGUCUUUUUU